CCCUUGGUGUCACAAAGUCCCUUGGAUCCUUGGGCCCUUCAGUGUCACAGUGGAUCCUUGGUUCCCUGAGGUCUGGCAGCGCAGCAAUGCUCUCCUUGGUUCCCACUGUCUUUUGUACCUCCUACUCUCAGACAAUAGAAGAACACCUGGUAGAUGAAGGGGAGUGGGAGGAGAUAUCUACUCGAGGACAUAAUAAUGAAAAUUCCUCCUGACCCCCACUCCCAAGCCAGGUGCCACUUCAGAACAGCAGGAAAAGCCUUCCACUGGAAGUGGGCUGUGAUGUUGCUUCUGUUUUGGAUGAACACAGUUCUGUGGCUUGACAUGGUGAUCAAAGUCUUGUCAAGCUCCACAGAAUUUGUGCUCAACCCAAUGCUGACAUCCACAGCUUCUCCAUGGAGGUGUGUGUGGAUUCUUUCUUCACCUGGAACAAAGCAAAGGGGAGUCUUUGCUCAGCUCACUGGCUGAUGGAAGCACAAGGAACACAGCAAACCACAGGUCACAGAAGGAAGGGUCACAGUUUUUAGCUGAAUGAGUUCUGUGGAUCAGUCCAUUGAUCACAUCCUGACAGCUCUGUGUGGAGAGCGUGGGGAUGUCCGGGCAGCUCCUGCAACACCUUAUUUCUGAGUGUGUUUGUAGAGAUGUGGCCCCAAGGUGACAGUGUGUACAGUGGGGUUGCUCCAUGUGCUCCGGUGACAAAAAAAAAAAAAAAAAAAAAAAAAAAAAAAAAAAAAAAAAAAAAAAAAAAAAAAUUAAAA